rnacentral:rRNA from 1 species
CAUCUCCUACGGGAGGCAGCAGUAGGGAAUCUUCCACAAUGGACGAAAGUCUGAUGGAGCAACGCCGCGUGAGUGAAGAAGGGUUUCGGCUCGUAAAGCUCUGUUGGUAGUGAAGAAAGAUAGAGGUAGUAACUGGCCUUUAUUUGACGGUAAUUACUUAGAAAGUCACGGCUAACUACGUGCCAGCAGCCGCGGUAAUACGUAGGUGGCAAGCGUUGUCCGGAUUUAUUGGGCGUAAAGCGAGUGCAGGCGGGUUAAUAAGUCUUAUGUGGAAGCCUUUG